rnacentral:misc_RNA from 1 species
UUGGCGUCAAUUAGCCUUAGAGGUGAUUUUCUUCUUCUUCUUCUUUUUUAUGGAAUUUAUCUGGGUUGUUCUUUAUUUUGCUGCUUGAUCGGAAAGCCCAUUGAAUGUGUAUGUUUAAGCUGAUAUGUUGUUGGGAGCAUCUGCACUUGUCUGAAUUUUCUUUCUCAAUAUUUUUUCGAAGCUUUCUCAUGAAUGCUUCAUAAACAGUAAGCUAUUUUGUUUGAAAUUUGUCACAUUAGGCUAUUACGUAUGUUUCCUCGUAAAAAAAUACUGACUUGUUACAAAGCAGCCUAGUUCAUUUAAAGCACAAUGGAAUGGAUUCAACCGAUCUACGUAAGGAUGUUCACAGGAUUCUUAUUUUGUGGGAAAAGUUUUUGGACUGUAGCAAUAGAUUGAAA